AUUGAACGCUGGCGGCAUGCCUAACACAUGCAAGUCGAACGAGAUCUUCGGGUCUAGUGGCGCACGGCUGCGUAACGCGUGGGAAUCUGCACUUUGCUUCGGAAUAACGGUGAGAAAUUACUGCUAAUACCGGAUUAUGUCUUCGUACCAAAGAUUUAUCGCCAAGGGAUCAGCCCGCGUAGGAUUAGGUAGUUGGUGGGGUAAUGGCCUACCAAGCUGACGAUCCUUAGCUGGUCUGAGAGGAGGAUCAGCCACACUGGGACUGAUACACGGCCCAGACUCCUAAGGGAGGCAGCAGUGGGGAAUAUUGGACAAUGGUGGAAACACUGAUCCAGGAAUGAGGCAUGAGUAAUGAAGGCCCUAGGGUUGUAAAGAUCUGUUACCAGGGAUGAUAAUGACAGUACCUGGAGAAGAAGCCCCGGCUAACUUCGUGCCAGCCGCCGCCGUAACAC
rnacentral:rRNA from 1 species